GACCACAUUGAAGCACUGGUUACUGUACGAUCACCGCAGCUAAGCAAUGUCGAGCCUGGUCAGUACCUUGAUGGGUGACCACUUGGGAACACUGGGUGCUGUAAA